AUACGUAGGGGACGAGCGUUGUCCGGAAUUACUGGGCGUAAAGGGCGCGCAGGCGGAUAUUUAAGUCAGCUGUAAAAGGCAUGAGCUCAACUCAUGUAUGCGGUUGAAACUGGGUAUCUAGAGUGCUGGAGAGGUAGGCGGAAUUCCCGGUGUAGCGGUGAAAUGCGUAGAUAUCGGGAAGAACACCAGUGGCGAAGGCGGCUUACUGGCCAGCAACUGACGCUGAGGCGCGAAAGCCAGGGGAGCGAACGGGAUUAGAUCCCCCGGUAGUCCUGGCCGUAAACGAUGAAUGCUAGGUGUGGGUGUCGAGAGGCAUCCGUGCCGGAGUUAACGCGAUAAGCAUUCCGCCUGGGGAGUACGAUCGCAAGAUUGAAACUCAAAUGAAUUGGCGGGG
rnacentral:rRNA from 1 species